rnacentral:misc_RNA from 1 species
AGGAUGUUUCUUUUCUUGAGAAGGUUUUGGUUAAAGAAGGAAACAUGGAAAUUUGAAGAAGAAAAGUAUUGGGAUCUUGGUGGUAUUUUAUUUGAAUUGAGAUCAUGUAAUCAUAUGAAACUCAAAGAGAAUGAGUUUGAAAUCAGGAAAGGACAGAGAAAGAAAAUGUCUUCUUUGAGAUACUGCACUCCUUUACUGCUUACUGCUCAAGGAGAAUGAGUUUGAAAUAAGGAAAAGGCAUAGGAAGAAAAUUAGGCCUUGCUGCAACUGUUUGUUACCACAUGACUCUCUAGUUUUAGAAUGCAGGAUAAUAGUUUUGAAUAUCUCAAUUCAUUACUUGUUCUAUUGGUAGCAUGUGGUCUAUAAUUGCAA